rnacentral:rRNA from 1 species
GAUGAACGCUGGCGGCGUGCCUAAUACAUGCAAGUCGAGCGAACGGACGAGAAGCUUGCUUCUCUGAUGUUAGCGGCGGACGGGUGAGUAACACGUGGAUAACCUACCUAUAAGACUGGGAUAACUUCGGGAAACCGGAGCUAAUACCGGAUAAUAUUUUGAACCGCAUGGUUCAAAAGUGAAAGACGGUCUUGCUGUCACUUAUAGAUGGAUCCGCGCUGCAUUAGCUAGUUGGUAAGGUAACGGCUUACCAAGGCAACGAUGCAUAGCCGACCUGAGAGGGUGAUCGGCCACACUGGAACUGAGACACGGUCCAGACUCCUACGGGAGGCAGCAGUAGGGAAUCUUCCGCAAUGGGCGAAAGCCUGACGGAGCAACGCCGCGUGAGUGAUGAAGGUGUUCGGAUCGUAAAACUCUGUUAUUAGGGAAGAACAUAUGUGUAAGUAACUGUGCACAUCUUGACGGUACCUAAUCAGAAAGCCACGGCUAACUACGUG